AAGAAGGUCAGAGGGGGUCAUUUGGACAAAGCUUACUUUACCAGGAAAUGGACAUGGAUGGAUCUGUCUCUGUUAGUCGCAUCCUGCGAGGCCUCGACUGAGUGACUCAAACAUUACUUGAGAGCCUGUGGUGAAUGAACUGAACUGUAUGGAAGAUUCUUCCAAAAUAAUUUUCUGCUCCAUGGAAACAAAUAACAACAUUUAUUUUGAAUGGGUUUGGACCGACAUGAGGGAAAAUGGCUUGCAAGUGAGGAGUGACUACAGCUUGAUAAGUGGCAAACCAUUAUUUUCCAGGCCGCCUGAAACCCCUUUGAGGCAACGAUGCUUCAUCUUAUCAUGGGCCUGGUGCAGGGCUGCCGAAAUGUGACACGACGCUCAUUCUGAGGUCAGUGCUAAUGUUUUCUUCAUUGGAUGAUCAUCUGGUGUAUGAUGGUUAUGUAAUUAUGAGUGUUUAUGCAUUUAUUUGUUUAGGUUUUAAUGGAAUUUGACAUUUCACCUCAAAUUCCCC
ensembl:lncRNA